AUUGAACGCUGGCGGCAGGCCUAACACAUGCAAGUCGAGCGAGCGUCGGACGGUUGAGUAAUGUAUGGGGACUGCUCGUUAGCGGGGGAUAACAACUGGAACCGGUGGCUAAUACCGCCUACUGUCCGAUACCCCCUAUGGGAUUAGCUAGUGGGUAAGGUAAUGGCUUACCUAGGCGACGCUCCCUAGCUGGUCUGAGAGGAUGAUCAGCCACACUGGGACUGAGACACGGCCCAGACUCCUACGGAGGCAGCAGUGGGGAAUAUUGCACAAUGGGCGAAAGCCUGAUGCAGCCAUGCCGCGUGUAUGAAGAAGGCCCUAGGGUUGUAAAGUACUUUCAGUCGGGAGGCGUUACCGACAGAAGAAGCACCGGCUAACUCCGUGCCAGCAGCCGCGGUAAUAC
rnacentral:rRNA from 1 species